UAGAGAGAGAAAGAGGUGAAGAGAAGAGAAAAAGGGUUUUGGAGAGAAGAACUUGAAGAAUCCAAUUGGGUAAGCUUAGGAGCUAAAUUGAAGCAAGAGUUUGGGUUAAUCUUCUUCUAAGCAUGGCUUGUGAUCAAGAGUAGGUUGCUGUGUUUUUGCUGUCGUGAGUGGCUAUCCCUCACUGAGUCGUUUAGGUGCUCUGAUACGUAACGGGAUGGGAACUUUGUUGCAUGCUUUUCUAUUCCUUACGUAUUGUUUAUAAAUUUACAUGAUUAAGUUGUUAAUUGGAUUUUUAUGAGAUGUUUUGAUGAGGCCUUCGUGCCAAGACUUUUUAUGUUAAUGAAUUUAAUC
rnacentral:lncRNA from 1 species